ensembl:snRNA U5 U5 spliceosomal RNA
UUGCUCCCGGUUUUCUUCGUAGCGUUUAAAUUUUUCGCCUUUUACUAAAGAUUUCUGUGGAGAGAAAUAUUCAGAGUAUUCAUUAAAUUUUUUGUGGUUCCACUUUAUUGUGGGUCU